CUCAGAUACAUUAGUGAUGUCUGCUCAUUAACUAGGAAUUGUGGAGAGAGAAUUGCAAAACUUAGAACAGCUGGAAAUAUGAAAAAUGUAUGUGACAAAAUGUAUAUGACUAUUUUUGUCUAAUGCUUCUUGUAAAUUCUCUGCAAGUCACAAUUUAGUGAAUAAACCACUGUUUUUGUCUAAAUGACAGCUGCCUAAAAACAUGGGAUUUGGCACAUUUGCAAGAGCUUGGAAAUGAAUGAUAAAUGUUAAAAUGUUGAUUAAUUGAGUGCACUACAUGAUGUAGCAGUAAAUAAAUAAUUUAUAAACAUUAGAUGUAUCUGUCAUUUUACAGACUGUGUUCCCCUGUUCCAAAGAGUCUUGCUGUAUAAUAAUCUCAAUCACAUUUUCUCCCAUAUCCAGAUUCAUGUAUUUUUAAUAGCAGGUGACAUUUUUUUGGCUCACACUUCUACAUUCUGGAAAAGAAUUGAGUGUGUAAAGUGCAAAAGUGUGCCAUUUAGAAAAGGGCAAUUGCCAUGGAAACCAAUGGAACAUUUCUGAUGAUUCAUUUAAUUUAACUUAGCAACCUAGUUUUUUGUUUUUAAGUUUUUUUAUUCACAGUUUGUUUGUUAAUAUCCCCAUUGUUAAAAAUCUUUUCAACCGACAAAGAAAC